UACGAAGGGGGCUAGCGUUGUUCGGAAUCACUGGGCGUAAAGCGCACGCAGGCGGAUUGAUAAGUCAGGGGUGAAAUCCCGGAGCUCAACUUCGGAAUUGCCUUUGAUACUGUCUGUCUUGAGUCCGGGAGAGGUGAGUGGAAUUCCUAGUGUAGAGGUGAAAUUCGUAGAUAUUAGGAAGAACACCAGUGGCGAAGGCGGCUCACUGGCCCGGUACUGACGCUGAGGUGCGAAAGCGUGGGGAGCAAACAGG
rnacentral:rRNA from 1 species